AGUGAACGCUGGCGGCAGGCCUAAUACAUGCAAGUCGAACGGCAGCACAGCAGAGCUUGCUCUGUGGGUGGCGAGUGGGCGGACGGGUGAGGAAUACAUGGGAAUCUGCCCAGUCGUGGGGGAUAACGUAGGGAAACUUACGCUAAUACCGCAUGCGCCCUUCGGGGGAAAGCCGGGGACCGUAAGGCCUGGCGCGAUUGGAUGAGCCCAUGUCGGAUUAGCUAGUUGGCGGGGUAAAGGCCCACCAAGGCGACGAUCCGUAGCUGGUCUGAGAGGAUGAUCAGCCACACUGGAACUGAGACACGGUCCAGACUCCUACGGGAGGCAGCAGUAGGGAAUAUUGGACAAUGGGCGCAAGCCUGAUCCAGCCAUGCCGCGUGAGUGAAGAAGGCCCUCGGGUUGUAAAGCUCUUUUGUCCGGAAAGAAAGCGCCGGGUUAAUACCCUGGUGUCCUGACGGUACCGGAAGAAUAAGCACCGGCUAACUUCGUGCCAGCAGCCGCGGUAAUC
rnacentral:rRNA from 1 species